rnacentral:rRNA from 1 species
GAUGAACGCUAGCGAUAGGCUUAACACAUGCAAGUCGAGGGGCAGCACAAGGUAGCUUGCUAUCUGGGUGGCGACCGGCGCACGGGUGCGUAACGCGUAUGCAACUUGCCCUAUACAGGAGGAUAACCCGUCGAAAGACGGACUAAUACUGCGUAUGCUCACAACUUGGCAUCAAGUGGUGAGGAAAGAAAUUCGGUAUAGGAUAGGCAUGCGUCCCAUUAGCUUGUUGGUGAGGUAACGGCUCACCAAGGCAACGAUGGGUAGGGGAACUGAGAGGUUUAUCCCCCACACUGGUACUGAGACACGGACCAGACUCCUACGGGAGGAAGCAGUGAGGAAUAUUGGUCAAUGGGCGCGAGCCUGAACCAGCCAAGUCGCGUGAAGGAUGACUGUCUUAUGGAUUGUAAACUUCUUUUAUACGGGAAUAACAAGAGUCACGUGUGACUCCCUGCAUGUACCGUAUGAAUAAGCAGCGGCUAACUCCGUG